rnacentral:rRNA from 1 species
UACGAAGGGUGCAAGCGUUACUCGGAAUUACUGGGCGUAAAGCGUGCGUAGGCGGUUCGUUAAGUCCGUUGUGAAAGCCCUGGGCUCAACCUGGGAAUGGCAGUGGAUACUGGCGAGCUAGAGUGUGAUAGAGGAUGGUGGAAUUCCCGGUGUAGCGGUGAAAUGCGUAGAGAUCGGGGAGGAACACCAGUGGCGAAGGCGGCCAUCUGGAUCAACACUGACGCUGAGGCACGAAAGCGUGGGGAGCAAACAGG